CCUACGGGGGGCUGCAGUGGGGAAUUUUGCGCAAUGGGGGAAACCCUGACGCAGCAACGCCGCGUGGAGGAUGAAGUCCCUUGGGAUGUAAACUCCUUUCGAUCGGGACGAUUAUGACGGUACCGGAAGAAGAAGCACCGGCUAACUCUGUGCCAGCAGCCGCGGUAAUACAGAGGGUGCAAGCGUUGUUCGGAAUUAUUGGGCGUAAAGGGCGCGUAGGCGGUGCUGUAAGUCUGUAGUGAAAUCUCUGGGCUCAACUCAGAGUCUGCUAUAGAAACUGCAGUGCUAGAGUGUGGGAGAGGUGAGUGGAAUUCCCGGUGUAGCGGUGAAAUGCGUAGAUAUCGGGAGGAGCACCUGUGGCGAAAGCGGCUCACUGGACCACAACUGACGCUGAGGCGCGAAAGCUAGGGGAGCAAACAGGAUUAGAUACCCCAGUAGUC
rnacentral:rRNA from 1 species